AGGCCCACUGCCAAGUGGAAAAAGCCACAGGGACGUUCAGAAGCGACCUCCUGCAGACAGCGACAGUGCCUUCUGCGCACAGGACAUCAGGCUGAAGGAUCAAAAUCAAUGUUCCACAAUUUCCACUCAAGGUCCUCACUGCCCCAGCAGCUUUUCUUCAGAGCCAAGGCCCGACCACCAGGACCCUGAUCUGGCAGGCAUAAAAGGACCAGAUGCCCCAUCACCUCCCCCUAAUCUUAUAAUGACCGGAUUCUAAAACAUUGGAAAACGAAUACACACUCUUUAUUUGCCACGAAAACAGUCAAAGAAGGGGAAAACAUCUGUAGCAAUGAUGGCAGAUGUGGAGUAAGUAUCCGUGUCAUGAAAUGAGGUGUUCCUAGAAACCGGCGAACUCUUGGGGCCCCAGUGGAUGCUUGUCCCUCAAGCGCAGACAGUUGCCGCCUGCCUUCCACGGGAACUUUGCCGCCCUCGAACUGCCUGCGAGGCCCCCUGGCCGCAUCUUGAGGCUUCAGGGAUUCAAUGAGAUCGUGUCUAUUACUGGUGUGGGAUGUGGGAGACAGAACACGGGCGUGAAAACCCAGUCGAGUUAAAGGUUAACUAAGACCGAACAACAUUGCUGGAAGUCUGAAAAUGAAGUUGAAAUACGUGGUAAAAGCCAGUGAGGAAACAUUAUUAAGAAUAUGAUUGUCGGGCGCCUGGGUGGCUCAGUUGGUUAAGCGACUGCCUUUGGCUCAGGUCAUGAUCCUGGAGUCCCGGGAUCGAGUCCCGCAUCGGGCUCCCUGCUCGGCGGGGAGUCUGCUUCUCCCUCUGACUCUCCCCCUCUCAUGC